UGCUGUGUAGUGUUAGGUUACUGCACAGUUAGUGUCUUGUGUAGAUUCACCCCGUGUGUACUUUCCAAGCUGUUGUGUGCACAGUAUCUGAUUCUUUACUUCCUUGUCUUUAUUCACACCUGUGCAGAGGCUUUUGCUGUUUGAGUGAAUUUAAAACAACCAUUUUACUGUGGCAGUGUUUCACCAGAGGAGAAUAAUUGGGUAUGGACAGAUGAGUGGCCAAAGAUUAUGAAUCCCAGGAAGAAGUCCAGCAAUGAAGGAAUCAUUGGAGAGAAUCUCACAGGAAGGAGAAGCAGAUCUUGCACCAAAGAAGGAGAAUCUCCAACUGGUGAGUAAGGUUCUCGAGCAUCUCAGUAGUCAUUUCAACAGAACCAAAUUAACAGUGACUACUGGACUUCUUCUCAGCC